AGGCAUAAUUUGCUAUGAAUUUCCUCAUAUGGACUUAUAGUGCUAGUUGAUGAUUGAUUAUGCUGUUCUAAAAGCAUAGUUCGCUAAUAAUUUCCUCAUAUAUGAAUUACUUAUACUCUUAUAGUGCUAGUUGAAGUUUGAUUAUGCAGUUCUAAAAGCAUGGUUUGCUAUGAAUUUCUGCGUAUACAAGUACUUUUCGAUUUUGAUAGUAUGGUAUGAUUAUUUCCAGCAUUCAUAAUUUUUUAUGUUCUUGAUUUGAGGGUUGAUGUGCACCAAAGUGAAAUCAAUAGUCUGUAAGACUAUGAUUACAUUUGAUCUCUCGGUGAAGUUAUAUUGUUUACAUUAAGCCUACUUACCACAAGAAUAUAUGCAUAGGAAUGUGAUAGAAAA